rnacentral:rRNA from 1 species
UACGUAGGGGGCGAGCGUUGUCCGGAAUUACUGGGCGUAAAGGGUGCGUAGGCGGCCCUUUAAGUCAGAUGUGAAAGCCCGCAGCUUAACUGCGGAAUUGCAUUUGAAACUGGAGGGCUUGAGUGUCGGAGAGGGUAGUGGAAUUCCCAGUGUAGCGGUGAAAUGCGUAGAUAUUGGGAGGAACACCAGUGGCGAAGGCGACUGCCUGGACGAUAACUGACGCUGAGGCACGAAAGCUAGGGGAGCAAACAGGAUUAGAUACCCUGGUAGUCCUAGCCGUAAACGAUGGGUACUAGGUGUAGGUGGUUUCGAUACCAUCUGUGCCGUAGUUAACGCAUUAAGUACCCCGCCUGGGGAGUACGUGCGCAAGCAUGAAACUCAAAGGAAUUGACGGGGGCCCGCACAAGCGGUGGAGCAUGUGGUUUAAUUCGAAGCAACGCGAAGAACCUUACCAGGUCUUGACAUCCCUGGACAGCUGUGGAAACACAGUUUCCCUUCGGGGCCAGGAGACAGGUGGUGCAUGGUU